GGCAGCACAUAUACUGUACUGUACUAAAAUUGGAAUGAUACAGAGAAGAUUAGCAUAGCCCCUGCGCAAGGAUGACACUCAAAUUCACGAAACAUUCCAUAUUUUU